GGCGAGGUGGAUAUUCGAGAUGCUGCAGAGAAAUCAACUGAUCCAAAAAACUGAGCGCAGUGAUGCAAUUUAAAAAUCUAUUGAAGAGCCAAGAACCAACGGGGGAUGGUGACGAAAAAACGAAAAAAAUCAACCUGACUCUUGCGUUCCUCUUUGUCGGCGUCGUCGACUCAAUUACAGGGUGAUUUACAUACCGCUCUAUUUGUCGCCCUCUCGCAAACGCAUAGUGGGAGUUCAACAUCAUAUGCACACCAGUCGCCUCAUACUUUUCGAUUUACUGCCGCUGAUGGUCCUGCCUGACAUCGAGAUGUAUAAGAAUAUAUCUCUCAAGAAUUGAAUGACAUCAAAGGACGUCACAUUCUCAACCGAGUCACCAGCGGGCAGCUACAACUAUCAUCAUCUUCGAGGCAAAAAACCACUCUCCAAGUUCCGAGCUCACAUCGGACACUUGAA
rnacentral:lncRNA from 1 species